UAAGAUUAAGCAACUAACCAAUCUAUCAAUAUUUACUUUCUAUAUUAAUAUAUUUACUUCCUAUAAUCUAUAAUGCUUCCCUUCAAGUUGGAGCAUAAAUAUUAAUCAUGUCCAACUUGUUACAUAUAUAAUCAACUUGUCCCAUACAAUCUAGCAGACACCCAAUUUGUGAACCCAACUUUUUCCAAUAAUUGAUGUACCCACAAAACUUCACAAACGAUUUUUGCCAUGACUCGACAUUCAGGUUCAGCACUAGAACGGGAGACCACAUUUUCUCAGCUUGGUAAAACGCCUUAUACACAUCAUAAAUACUAGAAAUAUUCUCUUUGACAGAAUAUAGAAAUUCCAAAUACUCCAUUAAUUCUUUAACAAAUUCAGAAUGAUUAAUAAGACUAAUCACCUUACUGUGAAUAAAAUUUCGAAUCCGUGAACAAUACUCGAUGACUCGUGAACAGUACCCGAUGAAUAAUUCCCGUGAACAAUAACUGAUGAACAGAGCCCUAAGUCUCCAAAUGUUACCCUUUAUGAGUAACCCAAAUGUAACCCAAAUGAACAGAGCCCUAGAUCUCCAAAUGUUACCUUUUAUGAGUAACCCAAAUGAACAGAUCCUAAAUUUCCAAAUGUUACCUUUUAUGGGUAACCCAAAUGAACAGAGCUCUAAGUCUCCAAAAGUUACUCUUUAUGGGUAACCCAAAUGAAUAAUAUCAACAAAACCUCCACCCAACACCCAAACGAACCGCUAAUAUGACAAGGGAGCUGUAAAGCGACAUUGGCAUCAUCUUUAGGUGAACAGUGAGAGACAAAUAUUA
rnacentral:lncRNA from 1 species